GCCCGGCAAAAUUAACCCUUACUCGUUUUACUCCAUCUUCAACCUCGUUUGUAUCGUUCAGUGGAGGCUGGGGGUAGUGGGGGAGGUGGCCGGCGAUCCCCUUGCGAUUCGUCUUUCCCCGCCGGUGAUCUGUCCAUCCUCUCGUGCACUGGUGUUUUUAUCUACUCCAUCUGCAUCUGUCUUCAAUCCCUAUCACCAGAUCUCCCCUCCCCCUCGAGGUACCCAUAAUUUUUCGAGUUUGAUGUGGUUUUUCUGGGUUUGAUUUUGCAUAUGUCGUCUAUCCUAGCAGCAGAGCCCCCCCUCCCCCCCCCCCCCAACUGGAUUCUGCUAUAGGUAAAUCCGUUGUAGGGUUAGCUAGAUUUUUUUGUUUGAUAUUUUAAGUUGCUUUGGUAGAAAUGACAAAUUGAGGCACACGAAGGAAAGAGAGAUCGGAGAGCAGUGCGCUGCCCAUAUCUAUGGCCUUUUUUGGAUAUUCAAUGGUGGGCAAUCGAUGAUUGUGGAACAGAUCAGAUGGAGAUACUAGUUAGCUGCUGCUUCAGUAAUCAACAGAGAUAGGACUUUUAUCUUUGUUUUGUACGGUCCAUGGUUUUGAUACGGGUUAGCUGUUUCUUUAUAAAUCAACGGAGAAAUAGGAUUUGUCUUUGUUUUUCAAAGCAAUCUGCUGCAUGUCUGUCUAUUUUUGCAUCCCUCGCAAUGUAGAAUUAAUCUCUAGUUUAUAUCUCAAUACUAUCAUACUGCACGAAAUCCCAAUCCUUUGUUUCCUGUGAUCAUCUUUCUGCUGAACAUAUCAUAAUUUGAUUAGCCCUGUCAAAUUAGUCAUGUCAAGCUAGAGCCCCUAUUGGCUGUGCUACAAUGAGUACUGAGCUACAUCAUAAUUUACUAAUGAAUUAGGCAGUCAUUUAAUUUUUGCAUUGCAGCUGAUUUGCAUUCAGUCUCACGGUUUGUCAUAAUAGUGUUCAAUUUUUUUCUAAUUGCUGUUGGAUUUUUUGUGUUCCACUAGCUUCAGUUUGUGGAUUGUUAGCUUUUGAUUUUGAGAAUUAUGGUCGAUAUAUUAUUGCCUUGUUUAUGGUACCUAGUUGAUAGGGAGGGAGGGGGAAAGUCGACAUGGCUUGAAGGCUCUUCUUCAUCACGGAUGGUUGUGGAAGGGAUCUGUGUUGCAACGAAGCUUGAUUUGUAAAUACUAUAAAUUUGUAAUGUCAAUGCGUACCCUACUUUUUUUCAGUUAAUUGCGAUUGAAAUUCAUUUGUAAACUGAGUGCAGAUUGUACUUCAACCUUUUAUUGUAGCAAUAGAACUUAAUCAUUUUUGCCUCUAAAAGAUUGAAACUUGAGGAUCGACCAGUCGAUGUCUCAAUGACUCCCAAGUCCUAGGCCACAUGCAAUUGCGAUUUAUCUAGCUGUAAAUCCUCAAGUGCACCCAUAUUUUGAGCACAAGCUUAGAGCCUAGUAAAAUUAUUGAAUGGAUAUGUGGGUUUCCCAAUAAUAUUUACAUGCCAGAAACUGGUUUAAAGUGAUCUACAAAUCUAAUUUAUGUCAUUGUAUAUGCAAAUAUCACCUGUAAUUCUUUACCUUUUCCUUUGGCCUUUUUUUUGCACCUUGCUAGUUGAACUGCUGGCUAUGUUUUCUUAGAAUUUGGAGAAUUAUACUGUUAGAAACCCUUUCUUGGGUAUAAAUGGAACGAUUUAAUACAGAUUUGCUCCUUGUCAAUUGAUAGAAAUCCUGCUUUUGUGUAAAUCGACGUGCAGCAGUGUCAGACCGGCGACGCACGGGACAGAUCGACUUGUGUGCAUAUCUUGUAAUCGGGUCUUGCUGUUGUCUAUACCUGCAGCCCUCGCCACUUCCUUGGUUCCUCUUCCUCGGUCCAUCCCCCUUCCUGAUCCAUUGCCAUUUCUUCUCAGAUCCCAUAAGUGAAAGAGCCGGAGGACGUGGAGCCAACCAGCAGCAGUUCUGUGCCAGCAACAACGCAGGAUCUGCGAGGGGGCACCGAGAUCCCUGCGCGCAGUGGCAUGUGUCUGCGAGAUCCGCGGCGACCCCGGCAAGGAAGACCAUGGGGUGGUGACAUGGCUUCCUGGCAAGCGCGGUCUCCCCUGUGGCGGAUUAAGGUGCCAUUAUAUGGCAAUUUGCCAGAAUUCCGCCUUCCACUUUGAAAAGUUACAGGUCUGGAUGUGUGUGAUUUUGUGAUUAUUUUUGUCAUUUGUGUGUGACAUGACAUUGAUGCUCGGAUCCAGUCUGGCCUCACCUCCUUGCUCUUUUCUACAAAUCUGCGAGGCAGCGCAAGUGAGGUCUCUGCUCAGCAUCCGGAGCUGAGGUAACCACGCACCAUAGCACCAUUUUUAUGGUUCUUAUGUAUCAGAUUACUAAAAGUUCAGAACAUAUGACCACUCUUAGUUCAGAUUAGUAAAAAUUUUGAACAUGAUGACUGCUCUUAGUUCAUAUUAGAGGGAAGUUCAGAUUAGUUCACAUCUAGAUUGUUCACUAACCAUGAAUUAUACCCUUUGUGUACUGUGGACAAUAAUCUUGCACUAAAAAUAUACAUUACGGCUGGGCAAUCUGUUUUUUUUUUCUAUUUGUGUUGUUAUGACUUGCAUUUUCUUAUUGUGGCCUUAUGUAAACAAAAAGUAGUUUAAUUUUUAUGCCUUUUAUGAAGUGUUUUGUUCUUGUUGGCGCCUGACAUCAAUUAAUCUUGCGGCUUCAUUUUUCCUCAUAAUGCUAAUAUAGGAUAUAAUAUGAGUAUCAUCAUGACAUCUUGAUGAAGUUACAACUUUAAAAUUUGAAGUCAUAUUGUACUUAUGCUGUGUAACUUCAGGCUUGUGUCUCUGUAAGUUUUGAAGUUAGUGUACAACUAUAAAUUUUGUGAAGCUAUUGAGUAAUCAUGAACUCUCCAGUUUCAUUUUUUUUUAUUGAAGCUUUAAUCUGCAGUCCUAAUAUGCUUCAUCUAGCAAUCAAGUAAAUAUGAAAAUGUGGCCUGAAAUUUUGUAAUUCUUAUACUAGAAUUACACCCUCAUUUAGUAUUCUAAAUUUCUAGUUUGUUAGUGUAAAACAAAAAAUGGAACACUACUUCACUAGAAUUUUCUAUGCCAAUUUUACCCAAGUAUUUCAGCUGCCUGCUAGUUGUGGUUGCCAUAGAAGCAAUGUGAUGCUAGUGGACUGAACUAGUUCUAAUGGUCAUUUUUAUUUCUUCAUUAGCGGUAUGGUAUAUUUUGUGAAGCUAUCGAGUAAUCAUGCAACUGUCCAGUUUCAUUUUCUUUUUUAUUGAAACUUUAAUCUGCAGCAUGAUAUGCUUUAUCUAGCAAUCAAGUAAAUAUGAAAAUAUGGCCUGAAAUUUCAGAAUUUUUAUACUAGAACUGCACCCUUAUUUAGUAUUGUAAAAUUCUAGUUUGUUACUGUAAACCAAAAGGUGGAAUAUUACUUCACUAGGAUUUUCUAUGCCAAUUUUACCAAAGUAUUUCAUUUUCUCCUGGACCUGUUACUUUUCUUGUAUUGCAUGAGCGGAGUUGAGGAGUUAGGGAUGGAGAACUCAGCAAGCAACUUGUCUAAUAUCUGAAUUGACUUGCCACACCCUGUUGUCUACAGCAAACACCUGCUCAAUGCCAUUUGAAUUCACUUGGUGCCUUAGGCAGUCUGCACCAGCCAACAGCUCACUGUUAUCUGACCCUCUUCCACUGCCAUUCAUGUGAAUUUCACUUGACUGUCAUUUGGACGACAUCUUGAUAUUCAGAUGUAUAAGUUGUAUGGCCUUCAAGUCAGCAUCUUGUUACACACAUAGAAUGUUGUAUAUCACAAGGUUAGAUCAAUAUGUAUGCUAUUCAUAUUCGGAGUACGAUGGAUAUAUAAUUCACUUAGUGUCUACCUAUUAUUUCAGUUAUGCUUUUUUUCCUCAUAAGGCUUGCCACAUGUGUAUUUAGGUGUGAACUGAGAUAUCUAAUAGAGCUGAACAUCUAGCUA